CGACUGCUGCUGUGGUUUCCAAGUAUUUAUUAUAGGUAACUUACCCUGAAUAUAUAGGGGUAAAGUGGCGAACGCGGGGAACUGAAACAUCUAAGUACCCGUAGGAAAGGACAUCAACCGAGACUCCGGAAGUAGUGGCGAGCGAACCCGGACCAGGCCAGUGAUCUUGGCGAGACAAGCAGAACCAUCUGGAAAGUUGGGCGAUAUGGGUGACAGCCCCGUAUGCGUAAUGCGAACCAAGAUCCUUGAGUAAGGCGGGACACGUGAAAUCCUGUCUGAAAUUCGGAGGACCACCUUCGAAGCCUAAGUACUCGUGCAUGACCGAUAGCGAACUAGUACCGUGAGGGAAAGGUGAAAAGCACCCCAACGAGGGGAGUGAAAAAGUACCUGAAACUGGUUGCCUACAA
rnacentral:rRNA from 1 species